AUGCCCGAGCGCACGGUUCCGCACACGUUCAUGAUGCCCCGCGGCAAAAACGACGGCCUGCAGGGAAACAGCGCGAGCGAGGUAGGUGUUCGACGGCCCACAACACUUGCAGUGGGUUCGCGUGCUAAUGAGCAGUUAGGGAACUCGGCAUACGGCGACGGACUGGACUCCGUCAGAACCAUGGCACUCGCAGCUCAGUGGGAUAUGUACACGGCCUCGGAGGAGCUGCUGCCGCUAGGUGGGCGCCUCCUCGCGCGGGAGGCUGAGCCUCACCUCCUCCCCCGCCGCCGCCAAGGCCGAGUAGACGGCGGCGGCGGAGACGCAGCGGGGCCCGUUGGUGUCGGCGCCGAAGAGCCCGCAGGGGUCCGGGGCCUCCGCCUCUGGGCCGGACGCCCGGGACGAGCCGGGCGACGACGUGGGGCUGAGCUGCACCGCCGUGGUGUCCUGCAGCGUGUGCUCGCUGGUCUCUAUCUCGAACGCCGCCCCCCGCCCCAUCAGCCCCGCGCCGCCGCCGCCGCCGCCGCCCCCCGCCUUGGAGCGGCACGCGCUGCGCGGCGGCGGGAGGCGGCUGCACACGCAGCACGCCCCGAAGAAGGAGAAGGCCACCAGCAGGAGGACGGGUCCGAUGACGAUGGGGGGGUUGGCGGAGGGCACCAGCGUGCUGAAGGCGAACGCGCCCACCAGCGUGAUGUUGAGGCCGGCCAGCAUGAUGCACAGGCCGCAGGCGCAGCAGAGCGCGGGCGACGGGAGGCCGUGGGGGCGCGACGUCCGCCGCUUCUUCUUCUGGGGCUCCUUUUUGGGCGGAGGGGUGCCAGCGGUUCUGUCCGUGAUGACCAUGUCGCCCCCCCCCCCCCCGGCUCCGGCUCCGUCCUUGUCUCUUUGUAUUAUUGGAUCUCCGGGCGCUUCACUCCCAACUCGUCCUCAUGGCGGUUUCCGAAUGAGCCGCGUUCGCCGACUGAAGCGGAGUCUCAGACAGCGGGUCAGCGCGCGCACUCAUCACACUGUUCACUGGCGUCACCGUGUCGGGAAAGGGGAUUUCAAACGGCACUUACGGUGCAGAUCCUCAGUGGUGACGCCUGA
rnacentral:lncRNA from 1 species